AUGAACGUAUAAAUUGAAUGAAUACAACUUGCAUUAGACCAGAACGAAACUUUUACGUGUCCGAGUAAGCUACAGUUAUUUCUCUUAAUAGUUUACAUUUGAAAAUUCUUGCCUUUAAACAAAUCAACCAUGGACAUAGAAAAGGGUAAAAAGCCACAGGAGAGUUUGGUCGAUGUUGUUUUGGAUAAAAUCAUUGCAAACAUCGACAAUUUUAUUCCGCCUACUAAUGAUGACUUUGGCUCAGGUGAGUUAUAAAAUAUUCCAGAUUUAAUUUUUAUUAAUUUUUUUCAUUUUGCAGACCAACUUCUUCAUAAAUAUUUUGGUAUCCACGGCGAAUCAAAAUCGAAAUUUUCAGCUUUCCCUCCAGUUCUGACCGAGAUGAUUUUAAAAAGAUAUUUCAGCCAGAAGUGCAGAAGUAAAAUGGGAAAUUUUGAGGAGUUCAUUAAAAACCGUCACGUUUUUGCACACUUGCUGAAUUGCAUGACAAAGACACUCGACCUAGAAAAUAUCUUGUCCUAUUGCACCAUCGAUUUGCAAGCGGAUUACCUUGAAGAUAUCUUGCAACUGAUAGAAGCACGGGCACCCAACAUCGAAUCGCUGACUAUUCGACCAGGAGUUACCGUUUACGAGUUAUAUGAAGAUUGCGACUGGGAAAAGAUAUUAAAUCCAUUUUCUAUACAAGCGAUUGCCGGAAUGAAAAAGCUGAAAGCUCUGAAAGUGUACGAACAUGUAAUCAGGUUUUCAGACCUUCAGAUGAUCUGUAAACAACUUCCAAAUUUGUCAUAUGUUGACGUUAAUAUUGCUUUUAAAGGCAUUCAAGAACUCGAAGCGAUAGAUUUUAAGCAAACCUUUCCUUUUCUUAAGGCGUUGUUGUGCAGAAUGAGUUUCGAGAAAUGAGUAUUGCUUGUGUGUGUUG